rnacentral:rRNA from 1 species
CGCUUAGAUGGUCUGGGCGGCACGCGCGCUACAAUGAUGCAUUCAGGAAGUCUUCUGACCUUAGAAGGUUGGGUAUUCUCCAAAGUGCAUCGUGAUGGGAAUAGUUUAUUGCAAUUUUUAAUCUUGAACGAGGAAUUUCUAGUAAAUACAGGUCAUCAACUUGUGUUGAUUACGUCCCUGCCCUUUGUACACACCGCCCGUCGCUCCUACUGAUUGAGUGUCUCGGUGAAUUCUUUGAUUCUCUGUCGAUUCAGUUCACUGAUCCGACGGUGGAAAGUUGAAUGAACUUCGUCACUUAGAGGAAGGAGAAGUCGUAACA